CCUUACCUACCCUUGACAUGUCCGGAAUCCUGCAGAGAUGCGGGAGUGCUCGAAAGAGAGCCGGAACACAGGUGCUGCAUGGUUGUCGUCAGCUCGUGUCGUGAGAUGUUGGGUUAAGUCCCGCAACGAGCGCAACCCUUAUCAUUAGUUGCUACGCAAGGGCACUCUAAUGAGACUGCCGGUGACAAACCGGAGGAAGGUGGGGAUGACGUCAAGUCCUCAUGGCCCUUAUGGGUAGGGCUUCACACGUCAUACAAUGCUACGGACAAAGGGCAGCCAACCAGCGAUGGUGCGCAAAUCCCAUAAACCGUGGCUCAGUUCAGAUUGCAGGCUGCAACUCGCCUGCAUGAAGGAGGAAUCGCUAGUAAUCGCAGGUCAGCAUACUGCGGUGAAUCCGUUCCCGGGCCUUGUACACACCGCCCGUCACACCAUGGGAGUUGGUCACGCCCGAAGUCGUUACCCUAACCGCAAGGAGGGGGACGCCGAAGGUAGGGCUGAUGACUGGGGUGAAGUCGUAACAAGGUAACC
rnacentral:rRNA from 1 species